UCCUAAUAGCUCAGUUGGUAAAGAAUCUGCCUGCAAUGCAGGAGACCUGGGUUCCAUCCCUGGGUUGGGAA
rnacentral:tRNA from 1 species